rnacentral:rRNA from 1 species
UACGUAGGGACCGAGCGUUGUCCGGAUUCAUUGGGCGUAAAGAGCUCGUAGGCGGCUGUUCAAGUCGAACGUGAAAACUCGGAGCUCAACUCCGAGCCUGCGUUCGAUACUGGACGGCUAGAGUCUGGUAGGGGGAUCUGGAAUUCCUGGUGUAGCGGUGGAAUGCGCAGAUAUCAGGAGGAACACCGGUGGCGAAGGCGGUUCUCUGGGCCUUACCUGACGCUGAGGAGCGAAAGCGUGGGGAGCGAACAGG